rnacentral:tRNA from 1 species
AAGGGUAUAGCUCAGUGGUAGAGCGCCUGCCUAGAAUGCAUAAGAUCCUGGGUUCGUUCCCUAGUACCUCCA